GAUGAACGCUGGCGGCGUGCUUAACACAUGCAAGUCGAACGAUGAAGCGGUGCUUGCGCCGCGGAUUAGUGGCGAACGGGUGAGUAACACGUGAGCAACCUGCCCUGGACUCUGGGAUAAGCGCUGGAAACGGUGUCUAAUACUGGAUAUGAGCUCUCAUCGCAUGGUGGGGGUUGGAAAGAUUUUUUGGUCUGGGAUGGGCUCGCGGCCUAUCAGCUUGUUGGUGAGGUAAUGGCUUACCAAGGCGUCGACGGGUAGCCGGCCUGAGAGGGUGACCGGCCACACUGGGACUGAGACACGGCCCAGACUCCUACGGGAGGCAGCAGUGGGGAAUAUUGCACAAUGGGCGGAAGCCUGAUGCAGCAACGCCGCGUGAGGGAUGACGGCCUUCGGGUUGUAAACCUCUUUUAGCAGGGAAGAAGCGCGAGUGACGGUACCUGCAGAAAAAGCACCGGCUAACUACGUGCCAGCCGCCGCAGUAA
rnacentral:rRNA from 1 species